AUUCUGGUAAUAAUUUCACUGUCUAAUCAUCUUCUUCCAGUUACUGAUGGCGUCAUCGCCCUACUGGAACCAGAUGCCCUCACCAACCUCCAUGCAAUUGAAGAUGAUGGAGAAACAUUGUCUGCGGCAUUUGAAAGGGAAGAGGAAAGGCCUAUUGAGGAUGAAAUCGAAUCCAAUGAGAGGCCAUCCACUUCUAAAUCACAGCUGGAAUCUUGCCUUCAGGAUCCCGAACGUGUUUUCGACCCUGGCUCUCAUCCUCAUAUGCGCCAGGUUGUAGCGCUGCUGUGGUCCUGGCACGGGAUCGGCAUACGGGGUCAGAAGGCAAGGCUGGCAGGGGUACCCUCUGUCACCUAAAACAUGACCGUCGUACUCUCCUACGAUACAGGUGAAAUAUUAAUCAUCUGAACAAAUAUGGAUUAUAAAUCCUUCAAAUAUAGGCUUAACUCACCACGGGCAAAGCGAGUGCUCAGAUUAGACUCCCGAAAUAUGCGUGCGUCAUGCACAGACCCCGGCCACUUUGUCUCCACUUGGGUGAUGAUAUUUCUGGCAUCACAUACGACCUUCAAAUUGCAGAGAGUAUAAUUAGAUACAGAGGCUGUUUUGUUAAGUAUCUUUAAUUUAAAAUGCUGAAGGUCUAGGCCUUCACCUGUACCUGCACAUUGAUGCUGUGGAAGGACUUCCUAUUAACAUAGUCUCCUUCAUUCAGUGAAGGAGCUUUAAUAGGAAUAUGAGUUCCAUCGAUGCACCCGAUGACACCCGGAAAAUCUAAAACAUUACAAAUUAAUUUAUUAAAUUAAAUUGUGCACUUUAUUUAUUAAAUUAAAACGUUCCAAUAAACAAAUAGGCUACCUUGUUGCUACUGUUACCUGCAAUUCUGUGGAACUCUUCCUUGAUUGUUCGUAUAGGUCGGUGACUUGGAAACAUCACAAACGUGUAAAGAAAACGUUUCAGUGCCAAAGUCACAUUUCUGACAGACCGAUACACGGUUGCCUUUGAAAUGUGCUCGGCGUCACCGACGUUGUAAAGAAAGCUGCCGUUUGCUAAAAUGUGCCACACAAAUAAUUUGUAUUGAACUUAAAGCAUGCCCCCGGUGCGUUUGACAUUUAACAUGGGGGCGGAGAAGGUGGUCUAAAUAAAUGAUAGAUUGCGCUGAAAAACGAUAGCGCUCGUGAAGAAAAUUAUCAGGAAAAGAAAGUAUAUCCAACCGGGGUCUUAAUA